CCUACGGGGGGCUGCAGUGGGGAAUAUCGGACAAUGGGGGCAACCCUGAUCCAGCCAUGCCGCGUGUGUGAAGAAGGCCCUCGGGUUGUAAAGCACUUUCAGUGAGGAAGAACGCCUGGUGGUUAAUACCCAUCAGGAAAGACAUCACUCACAGAAGAAGCACCGGCUAACUCCGUGCCAGCAGCCGCGGUAAUACGGAGGGUGCGAGCGUUAAUCGGAAUUACUGGGCGUAAAGCGCGCGUAGGUGGCUUGAUAAGCCGGUUGUGAAAGCCCCGGGCUCAACCUGGGAACGGCAUCCGGAACUGUCAAGCUAGAGUGCAGGAGAGGAAGGUAGAAUUCCCGGUGUAGCGGUGAAAUGCGUAGAGAUCGGGAGGAAUACCAGUGGCGAAGGCGGCCUUCUGGACUGACACUGACACUGAGGUGCGAAAGCGUGGGUAGCAAACAGGAUUAGAUACCCCGGUAGUC
rnacentral:rRNA from 1 species